UAGCCAAUGACGGGUAUGGGCCUUGAGAGAGGGAGCCCAGAGAUGGAUUCUGAGACACGAAUCCAGGCCCUACGGGGCGCAGCAGUCGCGAAAACUUCACAAUGGGGGCAACCCCGAUGAGGGAAUUCCUAGUGCUAGCACAUUAGUGUUAGCUUUUCUUUAGCGUAGAUAACUAGAGGAAUAAGGGCUGGGUAAGACGGGUGCCAGCCGCCGCGGUAAUACCCGCAGCCCAAGUGGUGGUCGAUUUUAUUGAGUCUAAAACGUUCGUAGCCGGUUUGAUAAAUCUUUGGGUAAAUCGGAAAGCUUAACUUUCCGACUUCCGAGGAGACUGUCAAACUUGGGACCGGGAGAGGCAAGAGGUACUUGGGGGGUAGGGGUAAAGUCCUGUAAUCCUUCAAGGACCACCGGUGGCGAAGGCGUCUUGCUAGAACGGAUCCGACGGUGAGGGACGAAGCCCUGGGUCGCAAACGGGAUUAGAUACCCCGGUAGUCCAGGGUGUAAACGCUGCAGACUUGGUGUUGGGGACCCUUUGGGGGUGUUCAGUGCCGGAGAGAAGUUGUUAAGUCUGCUACUUGGGGAGUACGUCCGCAAGGAUGAAACUUAAAGGAAUUGGCGGGGGAGCACCGCAACGGGAGGAACG
rnacentral:rRNA from 1 species